rnacentral:rRNA from 1 species
UACGUAGGGGGCUAGCGUUGUCCGGAAUCAUUGGGCGUAAAGAGCGCGUAGGCGGCCAGAUAAGUCCGGUGUGAAAGUCAAAGGCUCAACCUUUGAAUGCCGCUGGAAACUGUCUGGCUAGAGUCCGGGAGGGGCGAGUGGAAUCCUGGUGUAGCGGUGAAAUGCGCAGAUAUCAGGAGGAACACCAAUGGCGAAGGCAGCUCGCUGGAACGGU